rnacentral:RNase_P_RNA from 1 species
AGCGAUGGACUAGGCUGCCGCGUCAGAGCUGGGUGAUCCAGUUCUGGUGAGGAAAGUCCGGGCUCCGCAGGGCAUGAUGCCGGGUAAUUCCCGGGCGGGAGCCUUCCCAGGUUCCCGACAGAGAGCGCAACAGAAAGUAAACCGCGGUGUUUCCUGUUGCCGGUAUGCCGGCUGGGGAAUACCGUAAGGGUGAAAGGGUGGGGUAAGAGCCUACCGCGGGAUCGGCAACGAUUCCGGCACGGCAAGCCUCAUCAGGAGCAAAGUCAGACAGCGGCUGAACGGCCCGUUCUGAGCCGCGGGUAGACUGCGUGGACAGGGUCCGCGAGGAUCCUGCCAGAUAGAUGGCAGCCGGUACGCAUAGUACCGCACAGAACCCGGCUUAUGGUCCAUCGCUUUUU